GGUGAGGAGAGAGCUCCGUUCUCCCUGCACUUCCAGUGUGAGCCCUGUCCUGUGAUCUGGAGAGGUGUUGUGAGCAUAGCCACCAGCUUCUAAAGAAAGUGAAAGGUGGAUACUGAGCAAGAAGGUGCAGGAGGAGGCGCUUAGCCAGCUGGAUGCUACACAAGGAAGUGGCCUCCUUGCCUGGCCUUCGCUGCUGAGUUCCUCAAUGAUGCUGUUUCUUAUGUUGCACCACAGGAAAGAGACCUCUGUGCAAGAAUCAUUUGAAUGCAUUGGGAAACAGAUCAAAGCACAUUCCUGUUGCAAUGAAAAAUCAAACCAC